CACGUAGGACGCAAGCGUUAUCCGGAAUUACUGGGCGUAAAGGGCGCGUAGGCGGCCUUCUAAGUCAGACGUGAAAUCCCCCGGCUUAACCUGGGAACUGCGUCUGAUACUGGAGGGCUUGAGUGCGGGAGAGGGAUGUGGAAUUCCAGGUGUAGCGGUGAAAUGCGUAGAUAUCUGGAGGAACACCGGUGGCGAAGGCGGCAUCCUGGACCGACACUGACGCUGAGGCGCGAAAGCUAGGGUAGCAAACGGG
rnacentral:rRNA from 1 species